CCCAGAAUGAUCGAGAGAGAGAGAGAGAGAACCAGAGUUCUCCGACCCGCGACUGGGUCCGACGGAAAAUGCUCCUCCGGCCGCCUCUCCGCGGCGGACCAUGGGCAAUAGCUUUGUCUCUCCAUCGCCUACAACCCUGUAGCCUUGGAUCGUCCAUGCACUUGACGAGGUAGAAGAAUCGACGGUGAGAAGGUCCGAGCUUUCUCCGGCGAGUUCUGUAAUUUCCGGCGACUCCGGCCACUGAUUGAGCUGCAUUUGUCGAAAUUGACGUUGCCGGCAGUUGUUUUGGCUUCCUUGGUUUAACUUCUGCGUCCUAACCACCACUUGGGUCUUGGUCGAGAUCAAUCUGCAGUCUUGGGUUGAGUUGAUCAACUCAGAAUCGACUAGGCUGACUCCGGUUUGCUGUGUUCUUCGACAGAGAGCCGACCUGCAAUUUGGGAUUUUGUUUGUGAUCGAGUUUGAUGGCAAGGACUCUAGAUACCCAAGGAACGGAAGGUUCGCGACUCUCGGAGUACGUGAGAGAAAGCAUCGGAAUCCAGGUAGGGGACUCGGGACUCCCUACUGGCUAGUGAUUUUCCGUAUUUGUUUAUAUACGUGAUGCAUGAUGAAAGUACAUUGUUAGUUCACAUUUAAAAUGUUUUUAAGUUAACGUGCGUAUAAGAUUGUUGAUGGCGGUGUGUGAAAGCGGAAAGGUGGUCGAUGACUUCCUUGGGGAUUAGCCACCCCUAAACCUCCAGAAGGUUAGCUACACCGGUCGGACGGUGCGUAAUCACAAUGACGACUCAGUUCCGUGUGUGUAGCUAGUGUGUUAAGUUUGGCGCUCUGUGACUGGUAAGGUCAGAUGUUGGUCCUAUGGAACCAGGCCAUCAGUGUAUGUGCAGGUACUGUGCACUAGUAAUGGGAUUGUAGAGGACGGAGCUGGGUGCGCGGAAUUUGAUAACCCUUCCGGACGGUAAACGAGUUUCUGAUGUACUCUUGAUCUUUAUUUUUUGAUCCACACCAUUCUGAAACUUGUUGUUGAGUGUUCAUUGUGUGGUUAAGUCUAUUAGUCCUCGACUAUUCAAAAAUGACAAGUUCUAGACGAACAAAGUGAAUUUUGUAAUUUCAAGAAGCUUUCACCUCAAAAGUAUUUCAAAUUCCCGCUGUGCGUUUUACGAAAAGUUUAUCAACAAAAAUGCCUUGCAGUUCUCUAGAAUGUAAUUCGAGCCUUCAAUUUAUAUUUUAGAGACUCGCGGCACUUUGACGUGCUCAAGCUGGCAAGGUGCAGUUUGGGGCGUUACAAGAUCCAUUCAGACUCGGUUGUGUUUUUUCAGCUACAGAUUCAAUCUUUUGGUUGCUGUGGUUCUUUUGUUUUGUCCGUUCACUAGUUGUUAAGCUGAUCCUUUUGUUUUGUUGGUUCUUUUGUUCGAUCAUUGCUUCCCUUGUGCUUUGUAUUUUUUGCUGGCUCCUUUGGUUGUUAAUUUGAAUAUUUGAAGAAGAUGGUGGAUUUGAAGAUCACCGACGAGAAUAGUGGAGAAUCUCUAGAGUUUGGAGAGACGAGUUCUGUGGCCCGUGAGGUCGUAAUUGUUCAGAAUGUCACAGAUAACUCGAGUUUUGGUGUCAAGCUCAAUAGUACCAAUUAUCAGUUAUGGCAGAGACUCAUGAAGAUCCAUAUUCAUGGGAUUGGAAAGUGGAAUUAUGUUAUCGGUAGCGCAGCAAGACCUACUGCAGGACCAAAAGUCGAUGAAUGGGAUACAACAAUUACUAUUGUGAUGAGAAUUAUUCUCAAGGCUAUGACUCCGGAGGUAAUGAGAUCAUUUGCUAACUAUGAUUCUCCCAAAGCAAUUUGAGAUUCUGUUGCUGCUACAUAUUAUGAUAGGAGUGACUUUGCUCGGGUUCAUGAAUUGAAUGCCAAAGCUUUCAAAACAACUCAGAGCGGACAGCCUGUUGCAACUUUUUAUGCGAAUUUGAGGACAAUUUGGAAAGACCUUGAUCAGAGAAACCUUAAUCCUAUGACUUGUGAAGCUGAUAUCAAAUCCUAUCGGACUGAGCAGGACAAGAUGUGUGUCCAUAUUUUUCUUGGUGGCCUGGAUCCUCACUUUGAAGGGGAAAAGAAUGAGUUAUUGGCUUAUUGCGUCUUGCAACUCCACCUACAUUGGAACAAGCUUUUGCCUAUAUCCGAAGAGAUGAAGGUAAUAAGGCUGCUGCUCAGAGCCUUCAUACUGAAAUUUCUAGUUUAGCAAUACAUGCUAGAUCUCCACCUUAACCUUAGAUUGGGAACUCUACCUUAGUUCCCUCUCAGAACCAGUAUAAACCACGGAAUCAGGGAUAUCAACAAAAUCAGAAUUAUAACCAAAUGACUUGCAACUACUGCAAGGAAGUUAGCCAUUUCAAGAAUCAAUGCCCUAAGCUGCGAAGGUUCAAUUACAACAACUCUGGUUGCAGAGAAGGCAAUGAUACUGGAGGACGUGAAGGACGUGGUAGUGGUUAAAGAGGCAAAACAGCAGUCCAAUUGGUACCAGAACCUGUCUUCUACGACAUUGAAGGGCAAGACCCCUCAAAGGGUAAUGUUUCCUUGACUAAGGAAAGUCGAGGUAAAAUUGGUGUUGCUUUACAUGUUUCUGAAUUUACUGGUAGUGAUACAUGGAUAAUUGAUUCUGGUGCGUCUGACCAUAUGACCUAUGAUAAGUCCUUCUUUAUGUCUAUGUCAUCCCCAUUUAUAUCCCAUAUUUCUAAUGCAAAUGGUGCAUCUUUUCCUGUCUUAGGUAUUGGGUCUGUUUAGGUUACACCAUCCAUUGUAUUGCAGGAUGUGCUUUAUGUACCCUUGUUGUCUCAUCACCUUUUGUCUGUAUCCCAAUUGAAUUCACAAAAUAAGUGCUCUGUAAACUUUUACCCAAUGUAUGUUAUUUUUCAAAAUUUGUGCACGAGGGUGAUCAUUAGCAAGGGAGACCUGAGAGUGAGACUGUUUCACUUGGAUUGCAUGUACGCAGAGCCAACACAGGCACCAAAACAGCCCUUGGCCCUGACAUUGAGUUCUGACCGAUUGAGUGAGCUAUGGUUGUGGCACAGACGUUUGGGUCAUCCAUCUUUUAGAGUUAUGAAGAAGUCCAUGCCUUCAUUGUUUCUGGGAGUUACAUUUCAUAAUCUUAUUCGUACUCAAUAUGAUGCUCGUGUCUCUAGAAAACGAAUUCGCAGAGAUUUCUUUGUGGCUCAUCUCAGAGGUGCAGCAUGGUGUUGACUCGUCGGAGGAAGGCGAAGAAGAUGGUGGCUACGGUGACUCCACUCUGGUGGUUGGAGAUCGUGACGGAGGAGAGAGAGUCCUCCAGAUCCACUUUCUCUCUCCUCCACAAAUCUGAGUUCUUGUUUCCUUUCUGUUCAGCACCCAACCUCCUUCUUGUUCUUCACAAAGAGAAAGAUUGAAAGGAUUGAUUUUGAAUCAAAUAUUUAGGAAUGGCUUCGAGAGUCGUUGAUCAACAACAAGCCAGAGGUUCUCUAAUCGUUUUUUUCCAGGUUUCAUACUUCGUCCAGGUGAAAGGUUUUUGGCCUGAUUUGAUGUGAAUUCAGAGGUUCUGCAUAUUGAAGAAGUUAGCAAAACAAAGAAAAGAGUUCGUGUUUGGUUGCUCUGAACUGUAUGGAGCUUUGAAGUUUCACUUGGUUUUUGAAGAAAGUCCAGCAACUACAGUCAAGGUAUGGCAGUGGCCAGAGUAGGGGUUUAGCCACAGAAGAACGUUGUGGCGGAUGGGAGAAACUGAAAACCACUGGGUGAGAUUGGUAACUGGCAACUUGUUCAAGGAAUUGGGAUCAAGCCGAAUCGCCCUAUAACAAGGUUAUGGAGAGCACCUGUGGAUUCCACUUACUUCUAGAAUGGUAGACAUGCUCAGUGAAUAAGCUAAAGUAAACAAAGCAGGCCAUGAGCCUUUGUUCUCUGUUAAUUAUAUGCAGCAUCUCAGCAAGGAAAAUUUAUGUUCUAGGACACUUUAGGAUGCCGGAAAGGGAUCACUAUCACAUUUACUUUAGUUAUAGGCAUGGUUAAUGUGCAAUGGACACGUUUUAUGGACCAGUUUAUAUUUUUUGGGUUUAUGUAUUUAUAGGCACUUAGGCAGUGUUAAUUCCUUGUAAAUGUUGGGAUGAAUAUUGCUUAUGGAAUGAAAUGCUUUUUGGAAUCAA